UACGUAGGGCGCAAGCGUUGUCCGGAAUUAUUGGGCGUAAAGAGCUCGUAGGCGGCCAGUUGCGUCCGCUGUGAAAUCCCGGGGCUUAACCCCGGGCGUGCAGUGGAUACGGGCUGGCUAGAGGCAGGCAGGGGAGAACGGAAUUCCCGGUGUAGCGGUGAAAUGCGCAGAUAUCGGGAGGAACACCGGUGGCGAAGGCGGCCCGCUGGGCAACUGCUGACACUGAGGCGCGACAGCGUGGGGAGCAAACGGG
rnacentral:rRNA from 1 species